AAAAGCAGGGGAAGAAAACAGGCUGCAAUGUGGGGAAGGAUCGGGAGACUGCCUGUCCUACUCCUCUCCAGCCUGAAGGGACCACAACCAGCAGCCCAGGUGCCCCUGGUACCAAGGAAGAGACUGCCCUGCGGCUGAAGGUUUUUCCAGAUCACCCGGGCCAUGAGGGCAGGGCAGGGAGAGCUUCCAGGGCCUCUGACUGGAUGGGGGUGCCCUUUGAAGUCCGUGGUCGCCGGGAGGACCUGGCCAGGCUUAGGCCGCAUACACAGGCUCACUGCGGGGCGGGGGAGGCCUGCGCCCCUGCUGUACUCGAGGUACAAAUGAAUGGAGCUCCUGGCCAGAAUUUUGACAGUUUCUUCUCUCAUGUGUUAGGAAAACAGAGAGCCAGCAAAGGAAAUCUCAAAAUUUUGACCUCUGAAGAUGCAAAACUGCCAAAUGAGUUUUAUGAUGCAAAUUUAAAACAACCUAUUAACGGUG
rnacentral:lncRNA from 1 species